GAUGAACGCUGGCGGCGUGCCUAAUACAUGCAAGUCGAGCGAACAGAUAAGGAGCUUGCUCCUUUGACGUUAGCGGCGGACGGGUGAGUAACACGUGGGUAACCUACCUAUAAGACUGGGAUAACUUCGGGAAACCGGAGCUAAUACCGGAUAAUAUUUCGAACCGCAUGGUUCGAUAGUGAAAGAUGGUUUUGCUAUCACUUAUAGAUGGACCCGCGCCGUAUUAGCUAGUUGGUAAGGUAACGGCUUACCAAGGCGACGAUACGUAGCCGACCUGAGAGGGUGAUCGGCCACACGGGAACUGAGACACGGUCCAGACUCCUACGGGAGGCAGCAGUAGGGAAUCUUCCGCAAUGGGCGAAAGCCUGACGGAGCAACGCCGCGUGAGUGAUGAAGGUCUUCGGAUCGUAAAACUCUGUUAUUAGGGAAGAACAUACGUGUAAGUAACUGUGCACGUCUUGACGGUACCUAAUCAGAAAGCCACGGCUAACUACGUG
rnacentral:rRNA from 1 species